GCUCGAGUGGCGAACGGGUGAGUAACACUUGAGUAACCUGCCCUUGACUUUGGGAUAACUUCAGGAAACUGGGGCUAAUACCGGAUAGGAGCUCCUGCUGCAUGGUGGGGGUUGGAAAGUUUCGGCGGUUGGGGAUGGACUCGCGGCUUAUCAGCUUGUUGGUGGGGUAGUGGCUUACCAAGGCUUUGACGGGUAGCCGGCCUGAGAGGGUGACCGGCCACAUUGGGACUGAGAUACGGCCCAG
rnacentral:rRNA from 1 species